GAUGAAGAACGUAGCGAAAUGCGAUACUUGGUGUGAAUUGCAGAAUCCCGUGAACCAUCGAGUCUUUGAACGCAGUUGCGCCCGAAGCCAUUAGGCCGAGGGCACGCCUGCCUGGGCGUCACACGUCGUUGCCCCCCCAUCUACUCCUUCGGGAUUGCGGGGGGCGGAUGAUGGCCUCCCGUGCGCCUCGUCGCGCGGUUGGCAUAAAUGCCAAGUCCUCGGCGACGCACGCCACGACAAUCGGUGGUUGCGAAACCUCGGUUGCCCGUCGUGUGCGGUCGUCGCGCAUCGAGGGCUCGAAAAAAUUGCCGGGCUCCGGCUCGGCUUUCAACGCGACCCAAGGUCAGGCGGGGUUACCCGCUGAAUUUAAGCAUAUCAAUAAGCGGAGGA
rnacentral:misc_RNA from 1 species